rfam:Osedax symbiont Rs1 5221_94, whole genome shotgun sequence.
CUUGGUAGCUCGUGUCCUUAACUAAGGUAAGACAGGCUAAGCCUGAUUAUCUGCAUAUUAAUAUGGAGUAGAAAAAAUGGCAUUAUCAGCUGUUGAGAAAGCGCAAAUUGUUGCGGAUUAUGGUCGUGGUGAA